UGGGUUUUUACCAUGUUGGUUAGGCUGGUCUUGAACUCCUGACCUCAAGCAAUCCUCCCGCCUCAGCCUCCUAAAGUGCUGGGAUUACAGGUGUGAGCCACUGUGCCCGGCCCCAGUACAUAGAUUCUGACAACACACACUACUUCUUGUGGUUAUUACCUCUGUCUUACUUCAGUGUUCGUGUUUAGAUUUUUCCUCUCCCUCUAAUAUGUUUUAUUGAAAGUAACUUCUUUUAUUAAAUGACACCUCUGAAAUAUGUAGUGCAGUUCCUGUUCUCCUGGCUGGACCCUGACUGAUGCCAUGGGGAAAGCCCUCGGGCUCGUGGACCUUAAAUUCCAGGUCCUGUUGUGCCCAACUCAUGAUUUAUCCAGGUCACACCAGUCUGGUCUGUCACAGUAAGAGGGCACCAUCACAUACACUAUAAUAUGAAUCAUGACCCCCGGAGUUGUGUGGAGUUUCUGCAUCUCUCCCUCCCCACUGUGGCUACCCUCAUCCAGCAACCAUCCUGUCUCUCACCGGUAUUACCGCAGCUGAGACCCAGGUCUUAAGGAAGCUGAGACCCAGGCCAGCAGGGGCCUCACAGCUUGGAAAAAGAGGAGGGUGUAAGACUCUGGAUGAAGCUGAGAGAUCCUUCCAUGCUUGGCUGAGAGACUACACAGACAUGAGCUUCAGGAGACUCCAAAGCCUCGGAUCCCCUUCUAAACUAGCACUGAAUUCUGAUUGGCUGUCUUUGCCUGCCUCAGUUUGUUCCUUUUACUGAUUGGCUAGGUUCUUCUGCCCAUGGCAGAGCCCUGCUCCAGCCACCGGAUCCUCCCACCUGCCACAGUGUCACCUGGGAUUGGCUGGGCUCUGAAAGGCCAGGCUGGCUUGACUCUUGCCAUCAUCAGAUUCUUCCUCAUUAAACAAAUGAAUCACAAUCCUAAUUAAUUUGAGCAACAGAAUUUAUGUAACUACUCCCAGCAGGAUGUCUGCUCUCAGUCAGCAGAGAGAUUACUUCCUCUCUCUGGGAAAUUCCAGCCUUGCUGGUCAAUAAGCCUUAAUGAUGACUGAAAUCUCCCAUCUGUCUCUGCUCAGGGCAGGUAACCCCUACUAAGCAGACACCCAGUUGGCUCGAGGCAGUACCCCGGGCACCGGCAGGACAAGGACAACGAUCUCCCAGCCUAGAUGUGUCCUGAGCCACAUGGAGCACACAGAUUACAGGAUCUGACUCCCAUUUGGGCCUUCCACCUCCGCUGGCCUAAGCAGUCAAGUGUCAGAGAGCACUGGACCUAACAGCUCCCUCACCAGAGCAGCUGUGAUUCCUUCUUCAUUUCCAGCAGGGAAGACCCAACAACUUUUAUAAUAUGGGAUUUCUUUUAUUCUCAUGAUAAUAAUGUUCAUUGUGGAAAAUAAAAAAAAAUGAUAAAAUAAAAAUCAGCCAGAAUUCCAACUUCUGGAGAUUUUGGUGUCUUUCUGCAAAGUUCCUAUGCACAUAGAUACUUUAUAAAAUUAUGAACAUACUGUACAUACAGUUUUGGAAUAUGCCUUUUUCCUUCUGUCAUGAAAAAGUCUUCAAAUGCCUUUUAACAGCUACACAAUAGUUCACUACAUGAACCAACUCAAAUGUAACUAUUUUUGGCCUUUUGUUAUAAAUAACACAAGAACCCUCAGUCUUUGUUACAUAAUGUCCUAACAGAGUAGGGGAAAUGCUCCCCAAUCCGGUGCAAUGUCCUGUGCCCAGGGAAACCAAUU
rnacentral:lncRNA from 1 species